AUUGAACGCUGGCGGCAUGCUUUACACAUGCAAGUCGAACGGUAACAGGCCGCAAGGUGCUGACGAGUGGCGAACGGGUGAGUAAUGCAUCGGAACGUGCCCAGUCGUGGGGGAUAACUACUCGAAAGAGUAGCUAAUACCGCAUACGAUCUAUGGAUGGAAGCGGGGGACCGUAAGGCCUCGCGCGAUUGGAGCGGCCGAUGUCAGAUUAGGUAGUUGGUGGGGUAAAGGCUCACCAAGCCAACGAUCUGUAGCUGGUCUGAGAGGACAACCAGCCACACUGGGACUGAGACACGGCCCAGACUCCUACGGGAGGCAGCAGUGGGGAAUUUUGGACAAUGGGCGCAAGCCUGAUCCAGCAAUGCCGCGUGCAGGAAGAAGGCCUUCGGGUUGUAAACUGCUUUUGUACGGAACGAAACGGCUCUGGUUAAUACCCGGGGCUAAUGACGGUACCGUAAGAAUAAGCACCGGCUAACUACGUG
rnacentral:rRNA from 1 species